AAGUAGUAAAAGCACAGGACAAGGUCGAACCCAAUUUCAGUGAGAGAAAGCAGAAGCAAGCCAAACAGAGUAUUAAUGCUAGUCAGGCUCAGAACUACCAUUCAUGCAGCUAGCCAUAGGCAGCAGCCCUUUGGCUAAUUAUACUUCAAAUUCAAUUCUAAGCUUACUCACUAACCAACUCUUAAUGCACAAAACCAACAAUACGCGGCAGAAGAAAAAUGGCAACUGUUCUGUUUUAGACAACAAUUUCUCCUUGUGCCAGAAAAACAAAGAACAAAAAGAGGCAAAUAAUUCAGAAAAACAAAAAGCUUAUAAUUAGUCAAGUGCUCUCAUAUGUCAUUUACAAAGAAAACAAUGUCUGAGGAAAAAUCAAAUUGUGCCAGCAGCAAUACAAGCUUAAAGCAUAACAGCACAAAAAUUGCAAAGAGGGAAAAUCAAAGUGUAAUAGAGCAUAAAUUGUAAAGAGAAAAGCCGAGACUCACAAAUAUUCACAGCGGCAACUGAAGUAUAUGCUGAUGAACACAGAACACAGCAGCGAGACUGAGGUGGAUUUCAACCCCUUUUGCUGGCCGCGACAGAGUGAGAGAUCAGACGAGUGAUGAAACGAACAAAGCCUCGCCGUGAAGGUGAUGACAAGCCACGACGCGAAGGAUCUGAUCUGAUCUGAAGAAGAGAUUACAG
rnacentral:lncRNA from 1 species